rnacentral:lncRNA from 1 species
AUACCAAUUUUGCGUUUAGAUGAAAAUUGGGUUAUUUCUAAAAAUAAGAUAAAUAGUGUUUGAAUGGUUAAAUUGGAACAAGAGGAAUAAGAAUUAUAAUUUUAAAUUAAAAUUAUUUUAUCUAAUUAAUUAAUAUCAAAAUGUUACUUAAAAUUAAUUUAAUAAAUUAAAAUUUUAUUAGCUAUGAAUAUUGUAUAAGAUAAUAAAAAUAUAUUAAGUAAGUAAUUAAAUAUAAAAAUAAUUUAACUUUUUUAAUUAGUUAGUAAAUUAUUUUAGUUAGAUAACCAGCAAAAAAAUUAAUUAUAUUAAUAAAAAUAAUAAUAGUUGAU